rnacentral:rRNA from 1 species
GACGAACGCUGGCGGCGUGCUUAACACAUGCAAGUCGAACGGAAAGGCCCUGCUUUUGUGGGGUGCUCGAGUUGCGAACGGGUGAGUAACACUUGAGUAACCUGCCCUUGACUUUGGGAUAACUUCAUGAAACUGGGGCUAAUACCGGAUAGGAGCUCCUGCUGCAUGGUGGGGGUUGGAAAGUUUCGGCGGUUGGGGAUGGACUCGCGGCUUAUCAGCUUGUUGGUGGGGUAGUGGCUUACCAAGGCUUUGACGGGUAGCCGGCCUGAGAGGGUGACCGGCCACAUUGGGACUGAGAUACGGCCCAGACUACUACGGGAGGCAGCAGUGGGGAAUAUUGCACAAUGGGCGGAAGCCUGAUGCAGCAAAGCCGCGUGCGGGAUGACGGCCUUCGGGUUGUAAACCGCAGUCGCCUGUGACGAAGCGUGAGUGACGGUAAUGGGUAAAGAAGCACCGGCUAACUACGUG